GAUGAACGCUGACAGAAUGCUUAACACAUGCAAGUCUUUGGCGAAUCUGUGCUUGCACAGUCUAGCCAAGGCGGACGGGUGAGUAACGCGUAAAGAACUUGCCCUGCAGACAGGGAUAACAGACGGAAACGACUGAUAACACCUGAUACAGUUGCCGGCACGCAUGUGCCUGGCAAUGAAAAGAGAUGCUGCAGGAGAGCUUUGCGUCCUAUUAGCUUGUUGGUGAGGUGACGGCUCACCAAGGCGAUGGUAGGUAGCCGGCCUGAGAGGGUGAACGGCCACGAGGGGACUGAGAUACGGCCCUUACUCCUACGGGAGGCAGCAGUGGGGAAUAUUGGACAAUGGGGGCAACCCUGAUCCAGCAAUUCUGUGUGCACGAAGAAGGUUUUCGGAUUGUAAAGUGCUUUCAGCAGGGAAGAAGAAAGUGACGGUACCUGCAGAAGAAGCGACGGCUAAAUACGUG
rnacentral:rRNA from 1 species